rnacentral:tRNA from 2 species
GGGCCUGUAGCUCAGCGGUGAGAGCAGUCGGCUCAUAACCGAUUGGUCGCUGGUUCGAAUCCAGCCGGGCCCA